GUGAGAGCGGUAGAUGUCAGAAAUCCCAGGCGUGGUUCACCCCUGCUGUCCACCAGCUUUCAGUAGGGUGGCUUUGGGGAGGCUUUCCUCUGGGAGCCAGAAACGCUGGAUUCUUAUAAAAAGGGAUCCAAAUCCUGUUCCUGUCGACACCAAAGCUUUCAGAAGAAUGGCUCUGUCUUUACACCGAUUUGAAUGAGAACAGGGUUGUCUAUCUGUUUACCUGGUUUUCAGAGACGACGCCUAUAUGGCCCAUAACAAUGCACAUAACACUCAUGAGACCACUCGUGAUACCAUUUUCAUUUGUGUUGGGUAGUUGAAUGUGUAGUUGAAAGGCUACAGACAGAAUGAAAGGCUCUGAGUUUGCUGUGGUGUUAACUGAAAACGAACAUCAUUUUCACAGCAAGGAGGAAGCUGAGCUCAACACAUUUCUGAUGUCAAAGAGAGAAACCCCGUCUGCCAUCCCCCGUACUGACCUAAUUGCCACAUGUUGGUAAGCCUCAGUGUAAAUAUCUGGACUGAGAAAAUCCAACUUGUUCUUGGCUGGACACUUCCCGGGUU